UUUAUACUUCCUUCGUCUCAAAAUUCUUGUCUUAUAUUUUUUCAAAUACGGAUGUAUCUAGUUACAUUUUAGUGUUAGAUACAUCCGUAUCUAGACAAAUCUGAGACAAGAAUUUUGGGACGGAGGGAGUAUUAU
rfam:Triticum urartu cultivar G1812 contig1002113, whole genome shotgun sequence.